UGAUGUUUAAUGGACUAUUUUCAGUAUAUCGCCUGUGAUGAAUGGUAUACGGUGUACUAACAUGAUGUUUCUUAUAUGGACAAGUCUUAUACAAAUGGUUGUUUUCGGAAAAGAUACGUCUUAUACAGGCAAACCUGGAAUGACAAAUGACUUGUUGUCUGAAUACUAUUUACCACACAUUUAUGAAACAGACGACGAUAGGGUCGCUGACCAAGCAGACGCCACAGACGAUAUUUCGCACCAAUUAUCAGAACAGUUUAAACACUUCUUCAAGACGUACUAUCAAUCCAAUGCAGACCAAAUAGCAGAUAAAGCAGUAACUCCGAUAGGCAAGCUUUCUAACAAUGUUCAUGAUAGUAACAGUUAUGGCAUUGACCAAGAUGUCAACAUGAGGGAAAAUGGACAACAUGACAAUUCGAAAAAUGAAAUCCCUGAAGGAAUGAGCCUUAACAAUACAGAUGAAAUGAACGGUACAUUUAAUAUACCCCUCAUGUUUGGAGAUAAAAAUGAUGAAUUGGAAGAUGAAUUAUUUCAAAGGUACAGAAGGUCAGCUAACAAUAGAUACAGUGAGCGUUACAGAAGCAUUGCUGAUAUCCUUGGAAGACUACGGAGAGUCUAUGGAUUACCAACGCAAAGGAGGGGAUUUCUUGAUCCCAUAGCCUCACAUCUGAUUGGAUGAUGAAGCAGAUUGGAGCACUUAAAUUGCAUUAACGUUCUGCAGCUAAAUACAAUAUAAUGUGAUGUUGUAAUAUUCUUAUUCAGUAUUUUAAUUAAACAGUAUAUUUGAGAAAUAAAUAAUUUAGGUACAAAGAAUAUCUUUUGCAUUUAUGGAAUUAAAAAUUAAUGAAUUAUAAAUAAAACUCUACAACUACAUUGAUACGUAAUCAAUUCUGUUUGAUGGCCUUUUUUGUAAAAAUAUUUUUUCUAUGACCUUGUGUAAAAAGUAUAUACUUAUGAUAUAAAUGGUGUUUCUGCUUUGA